rnacentral:RNase_P_RNA from 1 species
CAAGGAAUAUAUGGUCGCGCGGGGUGCUCCUGAUGACAGGUGCAUUCCGUGAGGAAAAGUCCGGGCUCCACCGGAAAAGAUGCCGGAUAAUAACCGGGCAGAAAGGAUAGUUGCCUAAUACAACUGGCAUAACUCUUUUCUGACAGAAAGUGCUACAGAAAACAACCGCCUGUUUUACGGGUAAGGGUGAAAAGGCAGGGUAAGAGCCUACCGCGCUUCUGGCAACAGCGGCGGCAUAAGCAAACCUCAUCUGGAGCAAAAUCAUGCAGCAGUUUGGUAUUCCGGCCUUACACUGCGGGUAGAUUGCUGGAGGCGGCAGGCAACUGUCGUUGCAGAUAGAUGACCAUUGGCGUUUAUCGUCAACCAGAACCCGGCUUACUAUAUUCCUUGUUUU